rnacentral:rRNA from 1 species
UACGUAGGGUGCAAGCGUUGUCCGGAAUUAUUGGGCGUAAAGAGCUCGUAGGCGGUCUGUCGCGUCGGCUGUGAAAACCCGGAGCUCAACCCCGGGCCUGCAGUCGAUACGGGCAGACUGGAGUUCGGCAGGGGAGACUGGAAUUCCUGGUGUAGCGGUGAAAUGCGCAGAUAUCAGGAGGAACACCAAUGGCGAAGGCAGCACUCUGGGCCGUGACUGACGCUGAGACGCGAAAGCGUGGGGAGCAAACAGG